AUAAGCACUUGUACUGUGAAACUGCGAAUGGCUCAUUAAAUCAGUUAUCGUUUAUUUGAUUGUACUUUACUACAUGGAUACCUGUGGUAAUUCUAGAGCUAAUACAUGCGAAAAAUCCCGACUUCUGGAAGGGAUGUAUUUAUUAGAUUAAAAACCAAUGCGAAUCUUCGGKCYCGUUUUCUUGGUGAUUCAUGAUAACUUUUCGAAUCGCAUGGCCUAGAGCCGGCGAUAUUUCAUUCAAAUUUCUGCCCUAUCAACUGUCGAUGGUAAGGUAGUGGCUUACCAUGGUUAUAACGGGUGACGGAGAAUUAGGGUUCGAUUCCGGAGAGGGAGCCUGAGAAACGGCUACCACAUCUAAGGAAGGCAGCAGGCUCGAAAAUUACCCAAUCCCRAUUCGGGGAGGUAGUGACAAGAAAUAACGAUACGGGGUCUUAAUAGGUCUCGCAAUUGGAAUGAGUACAAUUUAAAUCCUUUAACGAGGAUCAA
rnacentral:rRNA from 1 species